GCCGGGUAUGAGCCAUGUAAGCUCAGAGCUUUUGAUGAGUGGAAGCCUCGCAUGCAGGAAUCUCCAUUCCGCUCCUAUCAACAACGCCAUAUGAUUUUUAACUCAGAGAGUAUUAUAUUAUCAUCUCAAAUUGAUUACAAAGGCCUUUCAAGUGUAACUUAUAAAGCUAAAAAUUAUCAGUUCUUUUGAAUCCUAGGCAAGCAAACUUACCAAAGAAAACAAAAGAAUCACACGGAGAAAGAGGCUAUCUUGCUCUACAAUGAGAAUCUGCAACUUAGGGAAACCCUGUGAUCAUGUUAUGGUUGGUUUUUUCUUUAUAGCUGUUGAUUUAUUGAGAGUUUCUCUAAAGUCUAAAUUGCAUUGACUUAAAUCAAUGGUGGCAAUAGAAUUCUACUUCAAGAUGCUUUUUAAUUAUGUCUGAUUUGAAGCAUCAUUAUUCCAAAAAUUGGAACCUACUCAUAUAUAUCUGAUUGGAUACAUCAUUUUAAUGACAGUAUGGCUAAAGUUUUUUUUUUUUUUUUAAUGUGAUAAUUCUGAGCAUAUCAGUAAUAUGAAUGUAAAUAGAGCUUUCUUUCUGGUAAUGCUUCUAAGUUGGGGUCAUAGAGAGCCCCAGGACAGAGAUCAUGAUGAGAAGAAUUGUCAUAGUAGUUACAAAUCAUCAGAAUGACAGCAAGUCCAAUUCAGAGGAUGUUGUUGAACGGAGAAAAUGAAAGAUUGGUACUUCCAGUUCCUCAGAUUCAGAUUAUGGAUCAAACGGAAGAGCAUUUAUGAGAACAAGUAAUCACCGUGAAGAUAAAACUGCAAAGAGAGAUCACUUAGUCAUGAAAGACAGACAUGCUUCACAAGGUCCAUCAAAUAUGAAAGGAAAAAUUGGAGCUUUCUUGAAACAAGCUCCAAUAGAUCCUUUGUUACCUCACAUGAACAUGAAUUAACCACACUACAAGUUCAUAAAUGUGGCUUCUGAACUAUCAGGAGAAGAGCUAAGCUGGAGAUGGUGAUGUUUUAAGAAUGCUGAGCAGAACCAUGCUUACAGAAAGAUCUGAAAGCUGUGCAUCUCAUGGAAUGCUGUGAAGAGUGGUGCUCAUGAAUAGUUUUAGUUACUGAAAAUAAACUGUGAGAGCCAGCUUUGGCGCUCCAUAUAGUUGACAUUGUGACCAAAUCAUUGCUAGCUCUAAGAAUGACAAAGGAAUUGCACCUCUCCAAGCCCUUGCCUCUAUUCUCUCUGCCUUCGAAAGUAGUACUUGCCUGACAUGGUGACACAAACCCUGCUUCAACUAUAAGCAUCAUUUAUCUUAAUUGUUGAGGAAAAUAAUAAAAUUAUUUAUUUCCCUUUGCUUAAUAGCUUAAGCUUUUGGGUUGAAAUAAUCCUUGACUUUUGUGUGGUAUUUGAUCUUUGGUGCGCUAAUACACAACUGAUAAGGAUUAUUUCAACUCAAAAGCUUAAGUUGUUAGACAAUGGUUAAUAAAUACUUUUAUCAUAAUUUCUAACAAUUAAAAAAAAUGAUACUAAUAGUUGUAGUAGAGUUUUUGCUACCAUUUGAGGUGAGUGCCACUUUUGAAUGCAGAGGAAAUAGAGGCAAGUGCUUGGAGAGGUUUAAUUCCUUCCUCAUUCUUAAAGCCAGCAAUGUUUUGGUCAUGCUAUUAGUAAAUUAUGUUAAAUUCGAUAGAUUUGACUAGUAUGUAUCAUCAGCAUGUGAAAGCCCAUGUUCAGAUUGGAAUGAUUAGAUUUGGCUAGCAUGUGUCAUCAAUCUGUGAAAACCAGUCAUCAAUUUGAGAUAUUAGAUUAUUUGUGAUUCUUUCU